rnacentral:rRNA from 1 species
GAUGAACGCUGGCGGCGUGCCUAAUACAUGCAAGUCGAGCGAACAGACGAGGAGCUUGCUCCUCUGACGUUAGCGGCGGACGGGUGAGUAACACGUGGAUAACCUACCUAUAAGACUGGGACAACUUCGGGAAACCGGAGCUAAUACCGUAUAAUAUAUUGAACCGCAUGGUUCAAUAGUGAAAGACGGUUUUGCUGUCACUUAUAGAUGGAUCCGCGCCGCAUUAGCUAGUUGGUAAGGUAACGGCUUACCAAGGCAACGAUGCGUAGCCGACCUGAGAGGGUGAUCGGCCACACUGGAACUGAGACACGGUCCAGACUCCUACGGGAGGCAGCAGUAGGGAAUCUUCCGCAAUGGGCGAAAGCCUGACGGAGCAACGCCGCGUGAGUGAUGAAGGUCUUCGGAUCGUAAAACUCUGUUAUUAGGGAAGAACAAAUGUGUAAGUAACUAUGCACGUCUUGACGGUACCUAAUCAGAAAGCCACGGCUAACUACGUG